AACGUAGGUGGCGAGCGUUAUCCGGAUUUACUGGGCGUAAAGCGUGCGCAGGCGGUUUUGUAAGUUUGUCGUGAAAGCCCCGGGCUCAACCUGGGAAUGGCGAUGAAGACUGCAAGGCUUGAAUCUGGCAGAGGGGGGUAGAAUUCCACGUGUAGCAGUGAAAUGCGUAGAGAUGUGGAGGAACACCGAUGGCGAAGGCAGCCCCCUGGGUCAAGAUUGACGCUCAUGCACGAAAGCGUGGGGAGCAAACAGG
rnacentral:rRNA from 1 species